GGCUACGCGGGCGCCUCCUCGCCCUGGCUGCAGGCCGAGGCGGCCACGCUGCCCAAGCCGCGGGCCUACGGCGGCGAGCUCUACGGCCCCGGCAGGCCCCUCAGCCCGCGGCGCGCCUUUGAGGGCAUCCGCCUGCGCUUCGAGAAGCAGCCGUCGGAGGAGGAGGAAUGGGCCGUGCCCGCCAGCCCGCCCAGCCCAGAGGCGGGCGCCAUCCGCUGCGCCUCGUUCUGUGCUGGGUUCCCGAUCCCCGAGUCGCCCGCCGCCACCGCCUAUGUCCACGCCGAGCACGCGCAGUCCUGGCCGUCCAUCAACCUGCUGAUGGAGACAGUGGGCUCUGAUAUCCGCAGCUGCCCCCUCUGCCAGCUGGGUUUCCCUGUCGGGUACCCGGAUGAUGCUCUCAUCAAACACAUUGACUCCCACCUGGAGAACAGCAAGAUCUAGGGUGCCUCCCCCACCCACUGGCUGUUUUUCCGCCUUCUCCCAUCACCCGUAAACACUCACUUUGAAUGCUGCAUGAAUCUCGUGGGGGGCCCUUGCCCCUCGCGACCCCCAGAUACCUCCACUAGCUACCGAGUCAACGUGUGUGCCGUCUUCCCUGGUCCAGGCACCACUCAGCCCUGGCUUUUCCCGGGAGGUCAGCCGAGGCUCUCCCAGCUCCCUGGCUCCUGCUGGGAGGUGGGGGUCAGGGCUGGGAUGGGAGGGGCAUACCCCACUCAGCCUCUUCCUCUGCCUUUCUGUUUGUUCUACACCGGUUGGAUCCAAGAAGGUGUCUAGUGCUUGGGCCUGGGGGAGGGGGAGGGUAUCAGAGGACUCCAGGCGCUCCCCCAGCCCCUCCCCAGCCGUCCUUCUUUCUCAGGCUGUGCUCUGUCCAGGGAGCGCCUCCUUGUGGGGUCUCAGAGCCUGCCCUGCACACUGAUGCCAGUUGCUCCAUCCCGUGGCCAGGUCGGAGGGAGGAGGCAUCUUGUCUCUUGCCGUCCCUGCAGGCCAGUCCUGUUCUCCCUGCUCUCCCCACCCUGGGGAAUAGGGAGGGUGGGAGAGGAGAGGGAGGGACCUGGAGGACUGGGAGCCUCAAGCCCGGAGAGGCUGCCCUGAGGCACCGUGACCCUCAGACCAGGGCACUAUCUGUGCGGCCGGUGCCCUCCUCCCAGGGCCCCCGGCCCUUAAGGCAGAUGCUCCCCUCCACCCUGACCCCACUCACGCCCCGACACCACAGGUGCCCUGGAGCCUGUGUGUGACUCAGCCUCUGUUAGCUGGGUGGGUGUCAUCAGCCCUGCCUCCCGGGCCCGAACCUGUGGCCGGGCUCAGGGUGCUGUGGAGAUCAACUUCAAAAGAGCUAACCCCCUUCCCAACACCCCAGCGACCCACAUUCCCUCUGUGAAAUCUACCUCAGAGUCGUACCCUCAGAAGGACGGGUAAGCAGGAGGCCAGGGGGUCCCCAGGGCUGAGGUGGGGAGCUUCCUACGGCAAGAGCCUGCCGCCCCCACAAUGAAUCCAACCCCCUCCACUGCAAGCCUCUCCCUGGGUCUCAGCCCAGGCAGGGGGCGGCGGUGGACGCUACUGUCAGUGCAUGUACCAUUCUGAUCCACCUCUUCCAGGCCCCCCACCUCCUCACACCCCUCCCCUCCCCCUCAGUGCAGGGGAGUGGGGGGGUGUGUCUGGCGGGGAAGGGGCCGAGGACUCCAGAGACACAUGGCAUCAUACCACCGAAGGGAAAUGGGGCAGGGGGUGGAGAGGGGAGGUGGGGCCCCUGAGCUCUCUGAACAAGUUGAAAGUCCAAAUAAAACUUACCUGUUCCAUCUG
rnacentral:lncRNA from 1 species